rnacentral:rRNA from 1 species
GACGACGCUGGCGGCGUGCCUAACACAUGCAAGUCGAGCGAAUGAAGUUCCUUCGGGAACGGAUUUAGCGGCGGACGGGUGAGUAACACGUGGGCAACCUGCCUCAUAGAGGGGAAUAGCCUUCCGAAAGGGAGAUUAAUACCGCAUAAGAUUGUAGUACCGCAUGGUACAGCAAUUAAAGGAGCAAUCCGCUAUGAGAUGGGCCCGCGGCGCAUUAGCUAGUUGGUGAGGUAACGGCUCACCAAGGCGACGAUGCGUAGCCGACCUGAGAGGGUGAUCGGCCACAUUGGGACUGAGACACGGCCCAGACUCCUACGGGGGGCAGCAGUGGGGAAUAUUGCACAAUGGGGGAAACCCUGAUGCAGCAACGCCGCGUGAGUGAUGACGGCCUUCGGGUUGUAAAGCUCUGUCUUCAGGGACGAUAAUGACGGUACCUGAGGAGGAAGCCACGGCUAACUACGUG